rnacentral:piRNA from 1 species
UAGGCAGAAUCAUUUCCCGAGGAGCC